AUCCAGUUGACGAGUCUCAAAUAGGAUGAAACGCGAGUCGUGGAU
rnacentral:hammerhead_ribozyme from 1 species